GUUUAUAUAGCUUAUACAGAGCAUAAUAUUGAAGAUAUUAAGGAAAUAGGAUUAUUUAUAAACA
rnacentral:tRNA from 1 species